UGGGCCCGCGUUGGAUUAGCUAGGUUGGUGGGGUAAAGGGCCUACCAAGGCGACGAUCCAUAGCUGGUCUGAGAGGAUGAUCAGCCACACUGGGACUGAGACACGGCCCAGACUCCUACGGGAGGCAGCAGUGGGGAAUAUUGGACAAUGGGCGAAAGCCUGAUCCAGCAAUGCCGCGUGAGUGAUGAAGGCCUUAGGGUUGUAAAGCACUUUAAGUUGGGAGGAAGGGUAGUAACCUAAUACGUUGCUACUUUGACGUUACCGACAGAAUAAGCACCGGCUAACUUCGUG
rnacentral:rRNA from 1 species